ensembl:misc_RNA Metazoa_SRP Metazoan signal recognition particle RNA
GCCAGGCAUGGUGGUGCAUGCCUAUAGUCCUAGAUACCCAGGAGGCUGAGGUGGGAGGAUUGCUUGAGCCCAGGAGGUCAAAGCUGCAGUGAGCCAUGAUCCCACUACUGCACUCCAGCCUGGGCGACAGAGUAAGACCCCAUCUCAA